UACGUAGGCGGAAAAUUAAGUCAGUAGUGAAAUCCCGCAGCUUAACUGUGGAACUGUUAUUGAUACUGGUUUUCUUGAAUUUAGUUGAGGUAGGCGGAAUGUGUAAUGUAGCGGUGAAAUGCUUAGAUAUUACACAGAACACCGAUUGCGAAGGCAGCUUACUAAGCUACGAUUGACGCUGAGGUACGAAAGCGUGGGGAGCGAACAGGAUUAGAUACCCUGGUAGUCC
rnacentral:rRNA from 1 species